UCACUUCCAUGCUGACUGACAGGCUAGCUGCCUUCAGCAGACGUAUUUGUCCAUUGCUACUGAUAUACCUGAUAUGUCCAGAAAUUCCUUUUCAUUUGUGGUUUACUAGAAUUUUUCAACAAAAAGUAAUACAUGUUCUAGCAUGACAAAGGAUGGCUCUGAAAUUACUAUGCAAUGUGUAGGCUGCUACUUAUUAGAGAGUACUAGGGAGAGUAUAUGAUAGUGGUUCUAUACAAUACAGAAUGAGAGACAUAACUGGUGAAUUCAUUUUACUUAGCUUUACUGUAAGAGUGAAGUGAUGGGAAAUUUAUUAUUGCACUACCAUUCUCACUAAGAUAGUUAAUGAUCCGUCGGGAUCGCCUUAAUAAAUCUCUCUUUCAGGGGUUGAUUACUGUAACAAUAAUUCACUCCAGAAUGAAACUUGCAUAUUUGAUCAUUGCCCGGAAACGUAAAUGCUUUACCAAUUUUGAAAAAUAAAAUUGUUUUUACUUUGGACUUUUAUCUCUUUGUAAAGACCCAGCAUGGUCUUUACUCUCUGAUCAAAAGAUUUCUCUACGUAUGAUUUUAAUUUCUCCCUUGUACGUCUAUUGAAACUAGGGUGGGUACGCUUAUGAUUUUAUGUAGCAUCAGAAAACUGCAUUGAUGAGGAAGAAUUCUGGUUCACUGGUGUUUCUCUCUCUCUCUUCAUAUGUGCUCCUUGAAGGAAGAAUAUUAUUCCUGGUCAAUAAUAAGUAAUACUGCAGAAAUCUGAGCUGAGUCUGAUGGCACCCUGCAACAUAUAUAUGAUUAUGCAGCCUGUGUGAUAUUUUGGGAAGUAGACCUGCACAAUGUGGCAUCCUGCUGGUUACUGCUACAACACCAGCCUUCUCACCACCUUCUCUCUGUCAAGUUUUCUCCUCCCAAACUGACUCAGAAGGUGUGCUCACACACAGGGCCAAUUCUUCAGAGAGCCUUCAACCCAGCCUCCAUUUGGGAGCAAUGUGCUAUGCAAUUUGAACACCAUUAUUUGUGCAUUCCAUUGUUUGCAUAGCUGUGUAUGCAAAAGCAGAAAGCAUUUUUUGAAGAUUUCACCCACAAGAUUCCUGAUACAGGGAAUACAUGGCUUAAAAGUCACCAAACAUCCCAUUCCACAUAUUAGCUGCCUCCAAAUGGAAACAGCCAGAAACACUGGGUACCGAAAUACUGAAAGGCCAAGUUUUGGCCUUGGAAACAUUGAUGAAAAAUAAAAAAGGAAAAUACUAGGUAAUCUGGCUUCAUUUGUCAGGUUUAUAGAAGAGGAGUUACCAGUGACCAGAACACCAAAAUAUU
rnacentral:lncRNA from 1 species